GGCUGUUUUCAGUUGGGAGAUAUUAUGUAACAAUGCUGCUAUGAAUGUCAUGUGUCCUCUCAUAUACAAGUGUGUACACAUAGGAGAGGAAUAGUGGGGUGGUGGGCUAUGUAUAGCUUUGGCCUCACAAACUCAUUUCCUAACUUGUUGUAUUCAUUUACACUUUCAACUUCAGUGAAUGAGCGUUCCUGUCCAUCCACAGUGUAUGCGAGUUUCAUUGCUCACAUUCUUAUCAACACGUGUAUUGUCAGACUUAUUUUGCAUAUCUGUUUGCUCCUGUACCACUCAUCUUCAAGGUUACGGUACCUUAACCUCUUUGAAACCUUUCAGACUAAGAAAGUGAACCUUAGAGUGAUUAAAUAACUUGUUCCCGUUACAGAGAUAUCUCGUAACAAGGGACUGCAUGAAGCAUCUUGCAGUGACUCUGGAGCAUCAUUUUGUGCUCCAGUGAUUAUUGUGUCAGGCUGGUGCCACUGCCGCUGUGGAUAAAUGAGUUGUCCUCAUUGAUGUUCCUGCCUAUCGUAGAGAAUUGAAAGCCCAGCUGAGAUCAAUUACAAGCAAUAUUACUACCUUGGCAGGAGAUGUCAAGACUCACAUUCCUGGUCAGAUGCUGGAUAUGUGUAUGCUGAACGACAGUCAAAGAAACAGGACAUUUCCAAUCAUCUUUAGAAAUGGGAGAAAGUCAUGAAGUUCUAAAAGCUUUGUUUCCAUGAAACCUACGAACAGUGCAGAUAAAGUAUAUUUUGUGUGCAUAUGCAUAUAUAUGUACGCGUGUGUGUAUAAUCUCCCUGAAUUUCUGAAUAAUGCUAUCCUCAAGCUCCAAGAGAAUAGAAGAGAUCCAUGCAUUCUGAGCCCAAUAUAGUAUAAUUCCAUUUACCCAGAAUCCAAAACACCAAAAUAAUGAAAUAACCAGAAUUUCGUUUACAAGUGUAUAGAACAAUUGUUGCUGUUCAUAACAAUAACCUGUUAGGUAUUCAGAUACAUUCUAAAAUAAAACAAACAGGCAUUCCCAUUUUAGUUUCAGAAAAGUAUAUUUUAUGAUAUUAAAAUUCUUAUGUUUAUAUAUUUACUAUUCAUUAAUGGUAUAUAACAGUUAAACACAAGAGUUAACCAUCUGGAAUACUCUGUGACUCAUUAUUUUCUAUCAACUCCAUUUUUUGAUUCCAAAAGGAAUACAUUUACUUGAUUUCUUUGAGAUUGGUUUGUGUGAUAAGCCUCCAGAAAAAAAGUGAAUCUUUGGAUUUGGUGAAUUAGGAUUCUCUAGUGAAUGAACACAAAUAACAAGGGUAAUUUAGGCAAAAUCAGUGUUUUCUUUUAUGUUUAUAUAAAUAUAUCAUAGAUUGCAAAGUCAAAUUUCUCACCAAAAAUAAGGCGUCUGUACUUGAGACAUUAAUGCCUGAGCCUGAAUAGUAACCUUGAAUCAGCAUGGCAACCUAUUGGGAGUUUCAGUUAAGCCUGGCUAAUCUAAAAGUGUAAAUGACUUGGGUCCUUAUUCUCAAUUAGGAAGUAGGAACAUGUGACUCUUUCCAAAGAGGUUUUUGAGUUAUUUCCUAAUGGGAUUUUCUUGUGGAGGAGUUAUACUGCAUGGUCAUAGCCCAGCUUCAAGACACGUCAGUUGUGUGAUUAUGAUGUGGAGGAAUGCAUGGUGAUCUCAAGCUCCUUGGGAAAGGAUAUAAGUAGGAGUGUGUACAAAUUGUCCUUCCCUAGGCUCACCUUGCAUAAACGCAAUGAUGAAACAAAAAUAAUAACAUGAAAAUAUUUCCUCUAGAGUCACCUUUUGGUUGCUGCUUCAGGGAUAUUGGUAUUACCCUCAUCAUAGAAGAUGCUCCUCACUUUCUUUCAAAUUUUAAUAGACAUCAUGCUCCUUGUCCAACCAAAGUCUUCUCUUCCAUAGGGUAAAUGGCCAUAGUUCCUUUGACAAUUCCUUGGUUUCUUUAUUUUUAAGCAUCCGUUUGGACUUCCUCUGGAUCUUUUUCCAUAAAACUGAUGUUCAGAGUUGGACACAAUCCUAAUACGUAAUUUGACCAAAGUAUUGUACGCAGCAUUACUUGAUCUCUACGGUAUAUUUUUCCCCCAAAGAAGCUUAGGAUAUUUUAUUAGUUAUCUGUCCUCUAUUGGUCUGUGGCUGGCUCAGAGAGGAAACCUUAAAGAGACUGUUUUAAUUCCAAUAUUAUAGUAUCUUCUUCAGUCUCCCUAAAAGUUCACUCUGUCCCAUCAGCUAACAAAAGAUUGAGGAAAGAUGAUCCACAGGCUUGUCUCUUCCUUUAACAUUCCAUGAUUUAUAGCAACAUCACAGACAAUACUUCUGGGAGUUAAAAAUUACUGAAAAUAUACCUGUUUUCAAACUGGGUCCUUAU
ensembl:lncRNA